GUGCUUGCUUCGGCAGCACAUAUACUAAAAUUGGAACGAUCCAGAGAAGAUUAGCAUGGGCCCUGCGCAAGGAGAAACAGAACGUAUAAACAGAUCCGUGGACUAA
ensembl:snRNA U6 U6 spliceosomal RNA